CGGCGGGUCUAGGCGGGGGGCUAGGGGUCCUCUGAACCGUAAACCCUCUACAUGACGGGCUGACUACUAGGGUAAGGCGUCAAAGAUCAUCAAGUAUUUCAGCCUUUCAGCCAUGAGUACCCGUCCCUCUAGGCUAGCGGUCGUGGGGUAGCUUUCGUAGGGAAGCUGUCAAAUACGUUCACCAGGUGAACCUGGCCAGGCCCGGGAGGGAGCAACCUAAGCUUGGACGUAUAGCGCUUGAGGGGUCGCGGGUAUGAGUGAAGAGGCUGAGGUCUUGAUGGAAACUGGGCGUCGAGCCUUAGUGACCUGCCG
rnacentral:SRP_RNA from 1 species